CUGGUCCUUUUUUCUCUCCUAUAGUAUGGCAACUUCCUGUAGCCUUGACUGCAAAUGGGUAAAUAAUCACAAUUUGGACUAAGAAGGUGAUAAAGACCAUAGUGAUGAUCCUUACAGAGACUACAGUGUUGGUAUUGGCUAUGGAACUCAGAGUUUUAAAGUUAUACACCAGCUCUUCUGCUUCUUUGGAAAGGUGGCACUAGUGUCAAGCAGAAAAAGGGCAGCAGAAGGAAUGUCUUCACUCGCAGUGUCCAGUGAUGAUGAAAUCACAGACCAAGUCCAGUCCUAAAAAUUUGUAGAGCCUCAAAAAGCCCCUUCCUCGAUCCUUAGUAUUCUUUUCGGAAGGUGAAAGCUGUUGGAGACUAGCAGGUAAACCUGAGAAGAAGUGUAGGUUUAAGGCCAAACCUCUGGGCAUCAUGGAAACGACCAUCAGAACAGGAAAGAAGAGUGAAAUAUGCUCAUAUACAGUGUCAACAAUGCAAAUAACAAGAACAGUUCAAUCAACUGAAUCCUAUAAAAGGCCCUAAAGAAGAGAUAUGAGAAUGCAUCUCCCUGCCUUCUUUGCAAAGGUAGGAGUCGUGGAUGCAGUACAAUGCACUUAAUGUUGUACUAGGUUGAUGUAGAGCUAAUUUUGCCAAACUUUCCCUUUUUUAUAAUAAAUAUAAGAGAAAGAGCCCUCUGGGAAUGGAA
rnacentral:lncRNA from 1 species